UACGUAGGGGUCCGAGCGUUGUCCGGAAUUACUGGGCGUAAAGAGCUCGUAGGUGGUUUGUCGCGUUGUUCGUGAAAAACUCACAGCUCAACUGUGGGCGUGCGGGGCGAUACGGGCAGACUGGAGUACUGCAGGGGGAGACUGGAAUUCCUGGUGUAGCGGUGGAAUGCGCAGAUAUCAGGAGGAACACCGGUGGCGAAGGCGACUUCCUGGCCUGUUCUUGACGCUGAGGCGCGAAAGCUAGGGUAGCAAACGGG
rnacentral:rRNA from 1 species